GGGUAAAAUGACGGGCAAGAUUUCCGCGUUAUCUUUUCGCGGCUAGUAAACAUACAGACGACACCAGAUAUGUCAUCAUCAGAGUGAAUUGCUGUCAAAUAUAAACUUUAUUGUAUUGAAAUUUCAAAGGAAAAGUAAUUUUGAGGUGAUUUAGUAAGUUUUCACAUAUAUUUGUUACAUAUAAAGUAUUGUGCUAAAAAUGGACGGAGUGAACGGGAUCAGCGAGAAGGAGAUGGAAGCUCGUGCCCAGUUUGGGGGUUCUGGUGUCUCGUUGACUCCAGUCGUAAAAGAACAACCGACAGUCAAAAUGUCAAAGGCUAGAAUAAUUAAGAACUUACUUGUGGUCAGUUUCGGCUUUCUGUGUCUUUUUACAUCUUUCAACUCACUGGCCAAUCUGCAGAGCAGCUUGAACAAAGAAGAUGGUCUCGGUGUUGGAGGUCUGUCUAUAAUCUACGGGGCACUUGUUGUUAGCUGCAUGUUUUCGCCACCAUUUAUUAUCGCCAGACUGGGUUGCAAAUGGACUGUAUUUGCAUCCAUGCUUUGCUAUAUCCUGUAUAUGGGCGCAAAUUUUUAUGCCGUUUGGGGAACAAUCGUACCAUCUGCCAUCAUUCUAGGUUUCGGAGCGGCGCCGUUGUGGUCCGCCAAAUGCACGUAUCUCACGGAAACUGCCACGUGGUAUGCUAAACAAACUGGUGCUACCGUUGAUGACAUAAUAAACAGAUUCUUCGGAGUUUUCUUCAUGCUUUUCCAGUCAGGCCAGAUAUGGGGCAACCUGAUAUCAUCAUUAGUAUUCCGGAAGACGGAGAGCAGGAACAUUACAGCUGAAGAUUUACUAACUUGUGGCGCUGACUUCUGUCCAUCUUCAGAUGCCAACAAUACCAAUCUUGAUAAACCAGACAUGGAUAAGAUUUAUAAAGUGUGCGGUAUCUAUAUUGGCUGUGCGGUCCUAGCUGUGAUUGUGAUAGCAGUUGGCUUGGACCCGAUAACUCUGGAUAGGGAGGAUGGCAGGAAGCGACAAUUUUCAUUUCAUCUUGUACUGGAGACGGCAAAACAUCUUUGGAGGUCAAACUAUCAGAAAUUGCUGGUGAUAUUAACAAUGUACAGCGGUGUGGAACAGGCCUUUGCAACUGGAGAUUAUACAAAGUCUUUCGUCGCCUGUGCUUUGGGUAUUGAGGACAUUGGGUUUGUGAUGAUCUGUUAUGGUGUUGUUGAUGCAAUUUGUUCAUUUUCCUUCGGAAGACUUGUGCAGUUCGUAGGGCACACCCCUUUCUUUCUUCUAGCUUUUCUGCUUCAUGGAGGUCUACAGAUAACGUUCUUGCUAUGGAAACCAAACAACGAACAGGUUUACCUGUUCUAUAUAUUUGCUGCUUUGUGGGGGAUGGGAGAUGCAGUGAUACAGACGCAGAUAAAUGCGUUGUAUGGAAUGCUGUGGACCAAGGAUUCGGAGGCAGCGUUUGCAAAUUAUCGACUGUGGGAAUCUCUCGGCUUCAUCAUUGCGUUUGCUUGCCAGAACUUUCUGUGCACGAACGUUAAAAUAUACAUUUGUAUGGGUUUCCUGUGUGUAGGAAUGAUGUUGUACGGAGUGGUUGAGAUCGCCCAUAGACGCGAUCAUGACGCAGACAAAAAUACAAGAUUAUAGUGUGCCCAUAGAUAAAGGUGUUGCAAUAAAUUCUAGCAUUUCGCUGAUUUUUACACAUUGCGGCUCCAUUCCAGUAACUUCAGUACUGGUUCUGAUGUUUCAUCCAGAUACCUGCUGGCACAUCGUAAACAAUUGAAAACUUGACGUGUUUUUCAGCCAACAAUUUUGUAUCUGUAUGACAUAAGAUUUGCAACUUUUUUUUAUUGUACAUAGAUAUUUGAAACUCUUUGAUUCUGUUCUGGUGCUGCUUACACACCUUUCAACAUUUGUUUUGUCUUAUAACAGUGAAUUACAAACCACCCAGGAGUAUAUAAAUAUCUUCAAAAUAGCUGAAUUAAGAUUUAACGUUUUUAUUUUUUAUUUUUAUUUUUUUUUUUUUGUGGAAACAAAUAUUAUCCGGCUACAAAUGUGGUGUAUUGACAGUUACGUAGUAUUCCAAACCAAGGCUCUGUUUGCAUAUGGAUAUUUUACAUUAAAUGUUUACCUAUGGUAGUUAUAAUGUAUACUAAGGUUAGUGUGUAUUGCAGCGGGACACUUCCCUUUUAUCAUUAUAAAACAGUGUCCUGUUUAUAAAAUAUGUUUUGAAAAUUGAAAAUAUCUUCUGAAAUUUGGUUAUGGUGUUAUUGAGGGCUAUCUGCAGAACUCUUGUUUUAUGUUUGUGUUUUAUAGACUUUUUCCCUUCCUGUUAGAGACGGCACCAAAACUUGCAAAUUUGAAAACUUUUACGCUGCCCUGUAAGAUGAUUCUCUGACCAAACUUUACUACUGAUCAGAAAAAAAAUUUGAAAAUAAAUUUUACCAAACUGUGUAGAAGUUACACAUUCAUGCAA
rnacentral:misc_RNA from 1 species